rnacentral:sRNA from 1 species
GGCUGAUGCAUUUGGCGGCUUUCUCCUCCCCGGCCGCGGCAGCAGCCGUUCCCCUCUGGAGGUUUUCAAACCUUCACAACUGACAGGGCCCAAGUUCUCUUGCGGCCCUUUUUU